rnacentral:rRNA from 1 species
AUUAUGACGUGCUUGCACUGAAUGAUAUUUUAACACGAAGUGAGUGGCGGACGGGUGAGUAACACGUGGGUAACCUGCCCAGAAGCAGGGGAUAACACCUGGAAACAGAUGCUACUACCGUAUAACAGAGAAAACCGCCUGGUUUUCUUUUAAAAGAUGGCUCUGCUAUCACUUCUGGAUGGACCCGCGGCGCAUUAGCUAGUUGGUGAGGUAACGGCUCACCAAGGCGAUGAUGCGUAGCCGACCUGAGAGGGUAAUCGGCCACAUUGGGACUGAGACACGGCCCAGACUCCUACGGGAGGCAGCAGUAGGGAAUCUUCCACAAUGGACGCAAGUCUGAUGGAGCAACGCCGCGUGAGUGAAGAAGGGUUUCGGCUCGUAAAGCUCUGUUGUUAAAGAAGAACGUGGGUGAGAGUAACUGUUCACCCAGUGACGGUAUUUAACCAGAAAGCCACGGCUAACUACGUGCCAGCAGCCGCGGUAAUACGUAGGUGGCAAGCGUUAUCCGGAUUUAUUGGGCGUAAAGCGAGCGCAGGCGGUCUUUUAACUCUCAUGUGAAAGCCUUCCACUCAACCAAAGAAGUGCAUUGAAAACUGGGACACUUGAGUGCAAAAGAGGACAGGGGAACCCCGUGUGUAGGGGAGAAAUUU